AUGUCAUGAUGUGGACACUUCCUAAGCAAUUCAUUAAAGUGUUCCCAUGCCUCAUGAAAUGUUUUCCCAUCCCUAUGUGAAAAUUAAAUAAUUUAAGUUCUCAUGGC